AUGCUGGCUUCAGAAGCAUGCAUAGGAAAACUGGAACGACCUAGAGACAAUUAGCAUGACCCUGCGCAAAAGAUGACCUGUGAAUUCAUGGAGUGUUCCAUACUGAU